rfam:Parcubacteria (Yanofskybacteria) bacterium GW2011_GWA1_48_10 TY20_C0001, whole genome shotgun sequence.
GUCCUCGUAGCUCAAUAGAAGAGCGCUCGCCUGUGAAGCGAGUGGUUGCGGGUGCAAGUCCCGUCGAGGACC